rnacentral:lncRNA from 1 species
CCAGGCUUUAUUAAAAUAGAAUAUAAAUAUUAACAGAAACGGACUGCUUCUAAUCCCCACUACCGUUGGCCAGGGAGGCCUCUCUUCAGGUUUUCUGAAUGGAACUAAAUAAGGAGCCCAUGUUACCGCGGAAAGGGCACUGUGAUUAGGAGCCUUUCAUGAGCUUCCAUGAACGUCUAGGGCUUGGAAACUUCAUUUUCAAAAUAAGGCUGUUGGAUUAGAUGAUUUUCCCAACCCCUAACCCUCUGUGUUAAUGAAUGGACUGACUCUAUAAUCAUGUUCCUUGGACAUUUCUAUGGAAACACUGAGCCAUCAUAAGGGAGGCCUUCAUUCUGAUGUAACAAAGCCAGCUGUGUCCACAUGAGAACAUUGGCAAGAGUGGGGACAUGGAAGCUGUGUUCAGGCCGGUCCACGCUGGGUGACCCAUGUGACCUGCUGCUUAGCAAUUCCUUGUCACCAUCUUCCCUUCUCAGCCUCUUUUUUCAUGCUAACAGGCAUAAAUGAAAUGAUAAAAGUUUGAGCUCUUCUCGUGGAAUUCUCGUGAUACAGAUAUGUGCUACAUGUUCAUCAUCUCGUUGGUCUUCACCAUGAUAACUGUGGAGUAAGAAUUAUAAGCAGGUCACAGAUUAGGGACUUGAGAUUGACAGUUUGGCUUCCCUGUUCUGGGUGGCAAAGCCUGUGGAGUACUCACCUACCUGCUGCAUGAAGGCAGCAUGGAGGGACUGUGGUGGAUUAUCUGCAAAGAUGGCCAAAAUUCUCUCAUCCCUGCAGGCACAUACAAGGAUGCCAGAAUCAGUCAAAACUAAGCUCACUGUCCUUGCUAAUAUUCUGCCCCAGAGAAGAACUGAAGCUCAGCUCUUCACCCUACAGAAAGCCUGAAUUUUGUAAAUGUUCUGCUUAGAAUGAGGAAGAAAGAUGAAGAAUGAGGAGGAAGAAGGAAGGAACGAGAGAGAGGUAAAGCCAACAAGCAGAACAGACCUACAUUUGCAGCAUCUCCAAGUUUCUGCAACAGCAUUAUGUUGUUGUUAUGUUUUGUUUUAAUAAAAGCACAUACCAUUUUU